CCCUAUGGGGCGCAGCAGSCGAGAAAACUUUGCAAUGUGCGAAAGCACGACAAGGUUAAUCCGAGUGGUUUCUGCUAAAGAAACCUUUUGCUAGUCCUAGAAACACUAGUGAAUAAGGGGUGGGCAAGUUCUGGUGUCAGCCGCCGCGGUAAAACCAGCACCUCAAGUGGUCAGGAUGAUUAUUGGGCCUAAAGCAUCCGUAGCUCGUUUUGUAAGUUUUCGGUUAAAUCCAUACGCUUAACGUAUGGGCUGCCGGGAAUACUGCAUAACUAGGAAGUGGGAGAGGUAGACGGUACUCGGUAGGAAGGGGUAAAAUCCUUUGAUCUAUUGAUGACCACCUGUGGCGAAGGCGGUCUACCAGAACACGUUCGACGGUGAGGGAUGAAAGCUGGGGGAGCAAACCGGAUUAGAUACCCGGGUAGUCCCAGCUGUAAACUAUGCAAACUCAGUGAUGCAUUGGCUUGUGGCCAAUGCAGUGCUGCAGGGAAGCCGUUAAGUUUGCCGCCUGGGAAGUACGUACGCAAGUAUGAAACUUAA
rnacentral:rRNA from 1 species